rnacentral:rRNA from 1 species
UACAGGGGUCUCGAGCGUUAGUCGGAUUCAUUGGGCUUAAAGCGUACGUAGGCGGGUGUGCAGGCGUCGUGUGAAAGCCCUCGGCUCAACCGAGGAAUUGCAUGGCGAACCGCACAUCUUGAGACAAGUAGGGGCGGUCGGAACGAUAGGUGGAGUGGUGAAAUGCGUUGAUAUCUAGCGGAACGCCGAUGGUGAAGACAGGCCGCUGGGCUUGUUCUGACGCUGAGGUACGAAAGCGUGGGGAGCGAACGGG